rnacentral:rRNA from 1 species
AGUGAACGCUGGCGGUAGGCCUAACACAUGCAAGUCGAACGGCAGCACAGUAAGAGCUUGCUCUUACGGGUGGCGAGUGGCGGACGGGUGAGGAAUACAUCGGAAUCUACUUUUUCGUGGGGGAUAACGUAGGGAAACUUACGCUAAUACCGCAUACGACCUACGGGUGAAAGCAGGGGAUCUUCGGGCCUUGCGCGAUUGAAUGAGCCGAUGUCGGAUUAGCUAGUUGGCGGGGUAAAGGCCCACCAAGGCGACGAUCCGUAGCUGGUCUGAGAGGAUGAUCAGCCACACUGGAACUGAGACACGGUCCAGGCUCCUACGGGAGGCAGCAGUGGGGAAUAUUGGACAAUGGGCGCAAGCCUGAUCCAGCCAUACCGCGUGGGUGAAGAAGGCCUUCGGGUUGUAAAGCCCUUUUGUUGGGAAAGAAAAGCAGCAGGUUAAUACCCCGCUGUUCUGACGGUACCCAAAGAAUAAGCACCGGCUAACUUCGUG